GAGGGUAGAGCUCAGUGGUAGGGCACGUGCUUAGCAUGCACACGUCCUGGGCUCAAUCCCCAGUACCUGCA
rnacentral:tRNA from 1 species